AUACUUACCGCUGCGCGGGGGAUCCCGUGAUCAAGAAAGGCGGUGCCUCCAGGACGAGGCCGUGUACAUUGCACUCCGUAUGGGCUGACUCCCUGCGACUACCCAAAUCGGGGAUGGCUCGAGCGCGGCAUAAUUUUUGGUAGUGGGGAACAAGCGUUCGCGCUGUCCCUU
rnacentral:snRNA from 1 species